rnacentral:rRNA from 1 species
UACGUAGGGGGCUAGCGUUGUCCGGAAUCAUUGGGCGUAAAGAGCGUGUAGGCGGUCCGUUAAGUCCGCUGUGAAAGUCGGGGGCUCAACCCUCGAAUGCCGGUGGAUACUGUCGGGCUAGAGUGCGGAAGAGGCGAGUGGAAUUCCUGGUGUAGCGGUGAAAUGCGCAGAUAUCAGGAGGAACACCUAUUGCGAAGGCAGCUCGCUGGGACGUUACUGACGCUGAGACGCGAAAGCGUGGGGAGCAAACAGG